rnacentral:rRNA from 1 species
UAUACCGUAGCUUGCUACACCAUAGGCUGUGAGUUGCGAACGGGUGAGUAACGCGUAGGUAACCUGCCUAUUAGAGGGGGAUAACUAUUGGAAACGAUAGCUAAUACCGCAUAACAGUAUGUAACACAUGUUAGAUGCUUGAAAGAUGCAAUUGCAUCGCUAGUAGAUGGACCUGCGUUGUAUUAGCUAGUAGGUAGGGUAAUGGCCUACCUAGGCGACGAUACAUAGCCGACCUGAGAGGGUGAUCGGCCACACUGGGACUGAGACACGGCCCAGACUCCUACGGGAGGCAGCAGUAGGGAAUCUUCGGCAAUGGACGGAAGUCUGACCGAGCAACGCCGCAUGAGUGAAGAAGGUUUUCGGAUCGUAAAGCUCUGUUGUAAGAGAAGAACGAGUGUGAGAGUGGAAAGUUCACACUGUGACG